rnacentral:rRNA from 1 species
GAUGAACGCUGGCGGCGUGCCUAAUACAUGCAAGUCGAGCGAACAGACGAGGAGCUUGCUCCUCUGACGUUAGCGGCGGACGGGUGAGUAACACGUGGAUAACCUACCUAUAAGACUGGGAUAACUUCGGGAAACCGGAGCUAAUACCGGAUAAUAUAUUGAACCGCAUGGUUCAAUAGUGAAAGACGGUUUUGCUGUCACUUAUAGAUGGAUCCGCGCCGCAUUAACUAGUUGGUAAGGUAACGGCUUACCAAGGCAACGAUGCGUAGCCGACCUGAGAGGGUGAUCGGCCACACGGGAACUGAGACACGGUCCAGACUCCUACGGGAGGCAGCAGUAGGGAAUCGUCCGCAAUGGGCGAAAGCCUGACGGAGCAACGCCGCGUGAGUGAUGAAGGUCUUCGGAUCGUAAAACUCUGUUAUUAGGGAAGAACAAAUGUGUAAGUAACUAUGCACGUCUUGACGGUACCUAAUCAGAAAGCCACGGCUAACUACGUG